GUUCACUUCGUCAUCAACGAUGCCCGUCCUCAAGCUAAGCUCACAUUUUCUCGUGCUCUCCAUCUAUCGUUUGUUUCUUCCUUGUAGGUCAUGUUCCUUGUGCGGAAUCAGAUAUGUGGCUGAUACAAUGAUUCGGCCAAAAUCGAAAAACCCUUGCACAAUUUCUCUUCAAUAAAACGACGCCGGCGUUUCAAAAAAAAAGUCAUGUACCUUGUGCGGAAUCAUUGAAUACUGGGUUUGUAGGCCUAAGGAGGGUUCACCUAACUUGGUUGAUUAUGCUGAGAAACAGGCCUGAAGAGCUGCAUUAGAAGUCCAAAGCCUUCGGUAGAGAGGACUUUGGACUUCUACUGCCAAUAAUUUGACUCCACCAUGGGGAAUGAGAGCUCUUGUCUCUGGAUUUGCAGAGAGUUAUUUUUUAAUCAGAGGAGAUGAGGACUGAUUGUAACAGAAAUGCAGAAACAGAAGGGGUGGCUUAUCUGAUACUGCAGAAGUUUCUGCAUUCAGAAGCUGCAUCUGGAGGCUGGAGUGCAGAUCUUCUGAUUUGCUGGAUGGUGCAGAAGGGGAUUGUGUAGGAAAUGGCUGAAGGAUUGAAAGCUAAUUUGACCUGGCUGAGGAAAUAGCUGCUGUUUGUGGUUCUCUGGUACUGAGAGCUUGUGCGGAAUCAUACAGGUUAUGUACCUUACAUAGGUAAUAAUAUGAAUUUGAGUUAUUUUGUUGAAUUUACAUUUCAAUAAAGAUUUACUUGUACAGCAUGAAUUUCUUUCAACAUUGAAUAAUUUUUUCAAGAUAAUGAUUUAUGUUACUAACAGAAAAUGCAGAACAGAAGUAUUUUUACAGGAAAAAUACAAAAUUGAUAUUACCUGUUUGUCUUGGGAAAGACAUUCCCUCUUGCUAGUACUCUCCUCGCAGUCAGGUACUUCGUAAGUAGGUUUGGACCAGUCGGACUCAUAUUGCUCACCUCCCCACCUGAGAGGCUGAGAGGCAAGAAUGUAUUUUUGCAGUAGAUUUCGAACUCUUUCCUCUAUGGUGUUCAAACUCAGUUUACAUCACUAUUUAUAGUUGGGAAUCAAAGUUGUAUAUCAUUAGUUUCUUGGGAAAAUCGCACUUUUGGUCCCUCAAUUGUUUCCCGAUCUGUAAUGUGGUCCCUCAAUGUCAAUUUCAGUCAAUUGGGUCCUCCAGUUCUUUAAAUCAUUGUCAAUUUGCCCCUCCGGUCAAAUUUCACAUGGACCAUGGUUAAAAGCGUGGAUAGAAUGGUAAUUUCCAAUACCCUUUAACCCCUUUCCUUAUUUCCACCGAAUUAACCCCAAUUCACUUACCAUUUCUGCCAUAACCAAUACCCGUUUCUUACUCCCAUUCCGCAAAUUAUCCCUGAUUCACGUACCAAUUCUCCCAAAAUCUACGAAGACGACGAAGUUCAUAUUGCACGGCCAUGUCUUCAAACAAUUUGUGCGACUCAGUUGAAUGGAUUCCAGAAGUUCGUUGUUGGUGCGGCGAAGUCGCUCCGGUAAGGAUGUCCUGGAGUUAUGCCAACCCUGGAAAGCGAUUUAGAUCAUGCCCACGCUAUGGAGUACGUGGGAAUGGGCACUGUAGCUAUUUCCAAUGGUUGGACUCCGAUGUCUCUGACCGUGUGUCUAAAGUGAUUCGAGGUUUAUUGAAGAGGUUAGAUAUGCAAGAGAGUGAAAUGCAAAGGCUUCAAGUAGUGAUUGAUGAGAAAACUGUCCAGCUUAAGAAGAAGACUCUGACUUCAAAAUUUCAAUUUUUGUAUGGUUUUGGAUUUGGAAUUGUGGUUGGUUUUCUUUGUUUUAGGCUUUGGAUGACAAGUGUUGAUCCAAGUGAAAAGCUUCUACAAUUGGCUUAGGAAUUUUAAUGCGUAAUGUUUGUAAAAACUUGGGAAUUUUAAUGCUUAUGAACUCUAUUGUCAGUUUGGAUUA